GCCAGCGUAGCUCAGUGGUAGAGCGCUUCCUUGGUAAGGAAGAGGUCGUGAGUUCAAUUCUCACCGCCGGCU
rnacentral:tRNA from 2 species